UACGUAGGGACCAAGCGUUGUCCGGAAUCAUUGGGCGUAAAGAGCUCGUAGGCGGUCUGUUACGUCUGCUGUGAAAACCCGGGGCUCAACCCCGGGCCUGCAGCCGAUACGGGCAGACUAGAGUUCGGCAGGGGAGACUGGAAUUCCUGGUGUAGCGGUGAAAUGCGCAGAUAUCAGGAGGAACACCGGUGGCGAAGGCGGGUCUCUGGGCCGAUACUGACGCUGAGGAGCGAAAGCGUGGGGAGCGAACAGG
rnacentral:rRNA from 1 species